UACGAAGGGGGCGAGCGUUGUUCGGAGUUACUGGGCGUAAAGGGCGCGUAGGCGGCUUCAUAAGUCAAAGGUGAAAUCCCUCGGCUCAACUGAGGAACUGCCUUUGAAACUGUGGAGCUUGAGGCCGGGAGGGGGUAGCGGAAUUCCCAGUGUAGCGGUGAAAUGCGUAGAUAUUGGGAGGAACACCAGUGGCGAAGGCGGCUACCUGGACCGGUACUGACGCUGAUGCGCGAAAGCGUGGGUAGCAAACAGG
rnacentral:rRNA from 1 species